ensembl:lncRNA
CCUGGAGCUGCUGGCGGUGGCCAACGCCGCAUCCCAGCCCCACAACUGCAGCACCUCGGCCGGUAGGUGACCCCCACCUGCCCUGGGCUGGUCCCCACCACCUCUGGUGACCCCCGUGACCACCUCGUGCUCUCCCCUCUCCCAGCCGGGCUCUGCUUCACCGCCACCUCCGCCAGAGCCACCAGAGCCGCGCCGCUGGCGCUCAACGCCACCGAGCUCUGCCGGAGGCACGCGCCGGCCAACUUCAGCCGGUUCUACUUCCCGUACCGCACGGCCAACGGGCUCCUCUGCGUCACCAACUGCACCCUCAACGUCCCCGGCUCCUUCGAUUGCCACCGCGGGCUCUGCCGGCUCACCCUGGACGGGCCCCAGUGCUUCUGCCCGGACCUGCCCUGGUACCUCUCGGCCGGUGACCGCUGCCAGACCCACAUCAGCAAACUGGGGCUGGGGCUGGGCGUGGGGCUGGGGCUGGGCCUGACCAUCCUCAUCCUCCUCAUCCUCUGCAUCGUCCUCACCGUCCGCUUGGCCCGAGGGAGGCCGAAAUCACCCGGACCAAGCGCGGCCGCCGAGGAGACUUGGCCGGACGGGGGCCGCAACAGCCGCGUCACCGGGAUCUACCACGUCAACGGCAGAGGCGGCGGUGCCGGGAAAGGUGGGUCCCGAAACGGGCGGUGAAACCGUCGCCGGAGAGGGAAAAUCCCCCAAAAUCCUCACGGGGUCAUGGUCCUCCUCCUCCUCCUCUUCCUCCUCGCAGGUCCCUACGGAUACAACACCUACAAUCCCAGCUCAGAGGUGGCCGAACCCCCGGCGUCGGUGGUGGCAGAAGGUGCAGCGGCCCUGUGACCGCCCCCCAUACCUGGGAGGGGGUGACCAAGGUGCCCCCCAAGACCUUCAGCAUCAUCAGGCAGCAGCCGAAGCCCUCGGAACCCUCAUUUUUGGGGGAAAAAAAGCUGGAAUCGGGAUUCUCUAUGAGAGAGGAGAGGUCCUCCCAUGCUCCUUUUUGGGGGGGGUUCUCCUUGGAGAGGACAUCUCAGGGGGGGUUUGGGGUUGGCUCCAGCUUUGGGAGCGUCACCGGAGCUGGAAAAUCCUCAUCUCCACGGAAAUUAUAUUUAUUAAUGUAUUUAUUUCAUCUCCUGAAAAAUCGUCCAAAAAAG